rnacentral:rRNA from 1 species
UACGGAGGGUGCAAGCGUUGUCCGGAAUCACUGGGCGUAAAGGGCGCGUAGGCGGCUCAUGAAGGCUGUGGUGAAAGUCCGGGGCUCAACCUCGGAUCGGCCGUGGCGACUCGUGGGCUGGAGCACUGUAGAGGCGGGUGGAAUUCCGGGUGUAGCGGUGGAAUGCGUAGAGAUCCGGAAGAACACCAGUGGCGAAGGCGCCCGCUGGGCAGUGGCUGACGCUGAGGCGCGACAGCGUGGGGAGGCAAACGA